rnacentral:rRNA from 1 species
UACGGAGGGGGCCAGCGUUGUUCGGAAUUAUUGGGCGUAAAGGGCGCGUAGGCGGCUAGGCAAGUCGGACGUGAAAGCCCUCGGCUCAACCGAGGAAUUGCCUCCGAAACUGCCUGGCUUGAGUCCCGGAGAGGGUAGCGGAAUUCCCAGUGUAGCGGUGAAAUGCGUAGAUAUUGGGAGGAACACCUGUGGCGAAGGCGGCUAUCUGGACGGGUACUGACGCUGAGGCGCGAAAGCUAGGGGAGCAAACAGGAUUAGAUACCCCCGUA